AUAUUAAUUUUAUUUAUAAUUUCUCUAUUAUUAUGUAUUCAAGGCAUACUCAUGCAUCACAUAUAAAUAUAUGUAUAUAGCUAAUUACUAAGCACGAUUUAUGUUUCAUUUUCUUAUUUGCAUAAUGGAUGUGGAUAUCGCCUUAGGGUGGUUUGGAGUAGUGUGUGUGUGUGUGCAUGUAUGUGGUGUGAUGGAUAUGGAUAGGACGGGCAAAUCAGCUUGAGCUAGUUUCGCUUGGAGCCCAGUCCUUUUGUGAUAAGUCGGGGUGAGUACGACUUUGAGUUGAUUUCGCUGGCCCCUGCAUAUGGAUUAUUAAUUGAAAGUUCUGCUUGAGUUGAUCUCGCUGGCAAG
rnacentral:misc_RNA from 1 species